AGUCAAUAGAUACCCGCGUAGUCCACGCCGUAAACGAUGUCGACUUGGAGGUUGUGCCCUUGAGGCGUGGCUUCCGGAGCUAAACGCGUUAAGUCGACCGCCUGGGGAGUACGGCCGCAAGGUUAAAACUCAAAUGAAUUGACGGGGGCCCGCACAAGCGGUGGAGCAUGUGGUUUAAUUCGAUGCAACGCGAAGAACCUUACCUACUCUUGACAUCCAGAGAACUUAGCAGAGAUGCUUUGGUGCCUUCGGGAACUCUGAGACAGGUGCUGCAUGGCUGUCGUCAGCUCGUGUUGUGAAAUGUUGGGUUAAGUCCCGCAACGAGCGCAACC
rnacentral:rRNA from 1 species